AGCUAUGCCAGGAAUGGGAAGGCAAGGGUGAUGGGGAUAGAGGAGGAAGCUUGCCUAAGCAGGUGGCCCAUGGGAGACCUCCAGGGAGUUUCAAGUGAUUCCUGAUGCUGUGGCAGAGCUGCCUCCUGGCCCCUGAGCUCAGCAAUGCUGGCUAUAAAGAAGCAGACACAAGGGUCUGCCACCUCUGAAUCCUGCAGAAAAUGGCUCUGAGAACAGUUAUUUCUGAGGAAGAUACUGUAAGAUUCUUUCUCUGCUGACCUCAGGUCUGCAAGUUGAAGACAUACCUGCCUCCUAAGUGUGGGGAGUGCAUUGUGUCCUUCCUACCGUCUGGAAGAGAGAGAGAUAUCAGGACAUCCCUGCCGCCCAAGGUUUGGAAGAACACAUUGCAUCCUGGUAUUCUGUCUUCCAGGAUUGGAGUCAGCUUCCAUCUCACAUUCUGCAUGUCUGGGGAUGGAUUUAUACUAUGCUUCUCAUGUGGAUGCUUUCCUCUUUGGAGCCUUCUGGAACCAUUCUUCCAUUCUCCAUUCUUGCCUGGGAUCCUGUCCAGAUGCAUUACAUAGGCUCGUAACCUCCAGCCUCUAUGCCUUUCCCCAUUUUCCC
rnacentral:lncRNA from 1 species